ACUGGCAGCAAUAUCAACUGCAGCAAAAACUGCCAAUAACAAGACUGUUGUUAAGGAAACAUCUUUCUGUAAAAAGACAAUUAGAUUAAUCGAAAUUGAAUCAAAAUUGCCUUAAAGUUACCUUUCAAAUAUUUCCAGCCUAAGGGACCUAAAAGUAUGGUGAAAAAAGGACUUCGUUUUAUAGGAAGAUAUUCAUUAUCAUGGCGAUUCCAUUUCAGUUUGACCAAUAUUUGAAUGAGAAAGGAAAAUUGUUCAAUCUCGUUAAUAUAAGUCACCAGAUUCAGCAUCAAUUGAUUCAAGAUUGGAAGAUUAAAAGAAACAUAAAAUCACUUAAAAA